rnacentral:lncRNA from 1 species
ACGCUUUGUGCCACCCCAGAGCAUUGAGAAGCAGGCUUGACUUUGCCCCCUGCUCUUUGUAGCAAGCAGGUAUUUCUCAAGCACAUUUAAAUGAUACUGGUCACACGUUGGUGGACGGCGGAUUCAUUUCAUCUGACGCACAGGCAUGUGGCUAAUGCCAAACUUCUCCUUCAGCAGCUAGUCCAAGAAAAGUAAAGUUAAAAAAAGUAAAGGUCUUGUUAUAACACAUUCAAAAAAAAAAACAACAAAACCAGCAGAAUCUGGCAGGCUCAGUCCCACAGAUUCUCGUAGGAAAAAUUUGCCUCGUGAAAGUCAGUUGUUCCACUUGCAUGACCGAGAGCUGCUCGCGUGUGCGAGGGUUUGUGAGGCUCAGCUGCAGGGCUGCUGGCUUUCCACCGGAACAAGCACUGUGGUGCCCGCCUGCCUCGGCCUCGUGCUGUAAAGAAAUGGGCUCCUGGAUGGUUUCUUGUUCUGCAUUUCAUCCCAGAGCAACAUAAAAUGGGGGAAGAAUGCAAGGGAAGCAGCUUGCUUUUUCCUUCCACAUCUGGCUGCAAAGCUGAGGGAAUAUACAGCAAGGACUGCUGCAGUGCCAGUGAUUCUUCUACAACAUACAAAGCAGCUUUGCCUCUGCCUGGAUUUCAGUGGGUCCAUGAAGCUCCUGGCAAUCUUCUCAUUCCCAGAGGUGGCCCUUCUCAGGCUGAGAAGCAUUGGCAAAGCAAAGCCUGAAAAGUGAUGGUGGAUCUGUAUGUAUGCUGGGGUGUAACUAUAAGGCUUCAGAGCCUGGAAUUGUCCCACAGUUACCAGCUGCAAAUACUAAAUCACAGUGUUUCUGGGAAACACUGAAACCAAAUUAACAAGAAGAUCAAAUCUAAAAAUACUUUACGAUUCCCUUUAAUAGAAAGUUAUUCCUGCACUUGUUGUGUAAUGGAAGAUAUUUAUAGAUAGUGUAAAAAAAGGGACUGGAAAUUCGUACUUAAGAAUAAUAAGGAAGAGAUGUAAAUGGAAAGAAGAG